UUCCUCGCCGCUUCCCCAGGCACUCUCCCGGCGGCGGCAGCUGCGCCGCCAAAGCCCCGGGCCCCAGCGGCCCCCCACCCCUCACUCGCGCGCUCCCACACUGCCUCCCCCCCCUCCCCGGGGGGAAGGCCUUUUAAUUUAUUUAUUCUGCUGGGACUGAGGUGGGGGGCUUGGCUGGCGGGGGAGAGGGGGGUCUCUUCGGCCUUCUACCUCCCGCGGCUGGGGCUACCCUUCCAGCUACCGGGCACUUCACGGCGUGCGCCCCCGGGGCCUCCCAAACUGUUUCCAAACUGCCCAGACCGGAGGUGGGCGCGUGGAGACUCGGCGAAAGGGCUGGGUUUGGAGGAGGGCGAUUGUGUGUUUGAAUACUAGGAGCCUGGGGAGGCAGACGUCGACCCCAAACGAGUUGCAAUCGAGGUAUCUCCGAACCCGCUUCCUCUUCGGCCCGCACACCCCCUCCCUCCCUGGAGCAAUACUGGGGAGGGGAAACCAAGAUUUGGAACCACAUUAGCCUUCACAUUCCUGGGAGGAUACAGCCCUCGCCUGGAUGUGGAAGAUAGCUUUUUUUCUCCCUAUUUUCCUUUCUGUUUUUAUUUUUGGAGGGGAGCGCCCAGUAAUUGUCCUGAACACAUGCUUCUUCCUCCAGGCACCAGCGACAGAGAGUCCCCUUUUUUGCAUUUAUCAUUUUCCUUCCCCUUUCUUUAUUAAAGGUCCGGGAGUGGCGGCGGCCAAUCAGCGCUCGGCUUCCAUUUUGUGAGUUCAACUCGGAGGCUCCCCCGGCUUCGCGUGGAUAUGUUUGCAGACCCCUCGGUCUCUCUUCUCGGGCUGCCGACACGAAGUAGCCGCCUCGCUGGGGCUUCGUGGUGGUGUAUUUCAUAUUGGGGCUCUUUUCGGGGUUUGUAAUUUGGCCGUGGGUAGGUAAUUGGCUGGAGCAGGGCGGCAGGGCGCGGCAACCAAUCAGCACACGGCUUCUAUAGGGCUUGAGUUAUUAGACGCUGAUCUCAAAACAUCCUUCAUCAGACUCCAAGGAGAGGCCAACAGAUGAGGGGAGCCAUUUUUCUGCAAUGGAAUUAAAUGGCCAAGUGGGUUUUUCCUUUGUUGCAAAUGGGGAAUGCUUUUCCUUUGACUCCACCAUCCAGUUCAGGACGCCUGAAUGUGUUUAACAUUUGCCAAAGGACUCACACUUGGAAGAAUGAAGAAGACCUUUUAAAAAGAUCUGGAUUUUUCCUUAUGACUUGGAAUCCAUCUUUGUCUUGUAUAACUAGGUCAUAGCACACUAUUAAUGUCAGCAGAUAACAGUUUUGAAUUCAAAAAACCUAAGUAAAUGACAUAUUUAAUUUUUUUCCUCUUUUUUCUUGGGUGGGUGGGGGGAGAGCUUGGAGCUGUCUUAAUCUGUAUUCUCUUGACUGAACAAUAAAUUUUUAAAUAUAAUUUCCUCUAUUAAACACUUAACCUGGUCAUCUUAUUAACUACUCUUUUUAACAAGGUAAUGUUUUAAAUGUAUAGUUGGAGUAGCGAAAUGGCAGCAACAAAAAAAUUGUGAGCUGUUACUGUUAAAUUUUCUAAAAACCUUUUACAUUGUAAGUACCCAAUCCAUUCCGUCCUUCCUGCACUGCAGUUUUUAUGUUACUGUCGCCUGAAAUGUCCUGAAUUUUCGGAAUCUUCAUCUGCAUGUAUGUCUUUGUCUCUGUCUGAUGUAAGUCAGUUAAAAUGCUUUUAGACGUUUGCUCUUAUAAAGCUACGGUUUUUAGUUCAAGCUUUUGGAAAACUGUUUACAGCAGUAGAUGCUGCUCCGAUUUCUUCCCAGUAACUCGUACACUUUCUUUGAAAAUCGAUCUAUUUUGAAGAAAAACAGCUGUUUUUCUCGACUUGGGGGGGGGCGACUGAGAGAGAGGAAGUCUUUCUUUACAAAGACUCAAAGCCGUCACUGAAAACUAGAUUAAAACUGGAAAACAAGUCCUAGCUGGUGCAAGCCAAACACCUACGUUAACCCGGUGCUAUUUUCUAUGGUGGUUGGGAUGGCUGGUGAGCUAUUUUGCCUUUUGUUUGAUUUGACCGUGUUUUCGCCUUUUGUUUCUUAAUGAUCACACCAUUGCUAAAUCCAGAGCAGUAAACAGUCCACAGCGAAGCCGCCUUUUUGCCAGCCCAACCCUGGAAAGUUUGCAGUCGUGGAAGGAGCAGAAAAUACUGAGUGUAACUUACAAAAAGACUCCAUGGCUCCGGGCUGAGCGGGUCUGAACCUUGGUGGCAGAGAAGAAAUUGAAGUGCUUUGGAGAUGGAGGGGCUGAAAGAGCGAGGAAACCUUCCCACCCAUCCUAAGGUUUCGUUCCCAUUUGAUUGUGGGGUUUCUGCAUCCUUAAAUCAGCUUUUCGGGGCUCCGGGGCUCGCCUGCUCUUCCAAAGAGAAAAAGGACAAAAGGCCGGCGUCCAUGUUGGCACCAUGACGCAGCAUCUCUCCCGCCUGCAGCCGGGCGCUGCCUGUCCUCCCGGCCGCGCUCGCUCCUCCCUCCCAAACAUGAGUUUUAUUUUCAGGUUUUGAGCCGAGCCGCAGGCUGGGCCGGGUUGGGGCCAAGGCUGGGGCCGCCCGGCUGCUCAAUGCUGCGGUGGCUAAUGGCGGCCGGCUCUCCUCCUUCCUUCCGCCAUUGUCUUUCCCCGGUUGUCGCUGGGAGGCAGUCCCGGGGUCCUAAGAGCCUGCAAGGCAAGGCACCCGGAAUGCUGGUGACGGGUCUCUGGGGGCCUUGGGCCUCCGGGGCGUCGCGUACCACAGUGCCCGCACUCGCCCACCCACCCCACCCCCGCCCGCCUGCCUGCCUCCCUCCGGGUGAGGCUUGCGACUCCCGCAGUGGCGGCCGCGAGAGGAGCCGGAGCUGGGCAGGGCGAGCCGCUGGAGGCGGGUUGAGGACCCUGAUCUCCGCUGAAGCCCCGGACUCCAUGGCCCAGGAGGGCACGAGGCCUCGCUCUGGCUGCUGUGCCUGCUGCUCUGCCUCGAAACAGGAGCCAAGUAGCCAAGGGCUAAGAGGCUGCCCAAGCCUUCCUUCACUGCCCACUCGGCUUCAGGAGACCCACCCCUGCCUCCCCAGUCGUUCUUUGAUAGCCGAGCCGGAGGGGCGGGUCUCCCCUUUUGUCCCCCCACUUAGGGAUAGAGGCCCUUGCGGUGUCUGAGUCCCUUCACUUGGUCGCCAGGGGCUCAGCCUCCAACCCAGCUCUGCGGGUUGGAGGUGUGUGUGUUGGAGGAGGGGGGCGGUUGGGGCCUGGGAAAGCCGACUGGGGCCUCCCCCUCGGGAACCCCCCCUCCCGUGACGGUGCCCGAGGGUAAAGCCUUAGAUCUCAGCCUUCCUGGGGGAGGGGAUGCGGACAGGGCGGGCCUUUGGAAAUGCAGAUGAGCCGUCUCCUGCUGCUCGUCGCCCGGGCUGAACCUUAGUGACUCAGCCACCCCCACCCCACCCCCACCCAUUCCAGAGUGAGGGCUGCCUUGUCAGCUGGAAAAGGGGGGUCAGCACUUCUGAGGCUCCCUUUCUAUCUAGUAGACCCUGUUGGUUUGCAUUUGGCCGAUCCAUUCUCUGACCUACAAACUGUGGGACUGCCCUAACAGAUCGUCCGAAUUCACAGGUCUUGCCCGGAGCCCGGAGCAAUGUCUCGGUUAUCCCCACAGUAGACAAUCCUUGCCUCCUCUGGACAUCUGGAACAGGCCUAAUUUGACCGACAGCUUGCCCACUAAGGUAGGUAAGAGCACUUUUCCCAAGUUGAGAGAACUAUAUCAGGGGGCUUUGGCCUGCGGCCUUCGAAGGGCGGGUUGAGAUCCCCAAACUCGCUGGGCUGGUUUAGCAGCCCCUCCCCCACGCUGAUGUGGCGGUUGUGUCUGUGUGUGAAAUGGGCGGCCUGCUGGGUCCAUCCAGCCCCGCCUGUCAACCUCUGUUGUCAGGCGUUUAGGGCGGGCGAUUCUCUGCCGAAUUUAGCAACCUACUAGAGCAGGACUACGAAGUAUUUCCCAGUGGUGUGUUUUAUGGUGGGUGGGAGGGUCCUGGAAGCUUCUGAAGGCGUUGACUGCUGCCAGGCUUGCCGGUGGUGCCUCAGCCAUUUCUCCUGAGUCCCAUUAGGGUGGCCAAAUGAGCCACCCUGAUGUCUGACUUGCUGGCUAGACAAAGAACCCAAAAACCUGAAAUCUUAGGCAACCUUCCCAGAGAAAAGGUUUCUUUGACUUCUUUUCCUGGAUUCUCACAGUGGCCCUUCUACCUCCCAACAAGGCCAGGUGGUCGAUAGCCAGGCUUCUAGAACCGGACAAAGCUGGCUGUGAAGCAGACGGGUUCUUUACGAGUGUUUACCGUGCAUACUCAACAUGGUCUGCCAGCCGUCUCCUUAGCUGCAAAAAUUAGACAGGUAUCCUAAGUCAGAAGGGGAACUCAUUUAACCUCACUGUGCCCGGCUCUUAUUUGUCUCAUUCAGAAGGUGCAUCUAAGAAUUAGCGCUUCUCACUGGGUCCCAGGCACUGCCAGUUUUCCAGACUUUCCCUGCUAGGUGACACCUGGGAUAUUCUCCAUCUGUGUAGCUCCAGUUGGCUAGUCCUCCUCCGGCCCAGGAAACUUCACAGAUGAAAGUGGUGUGGCCCUUGAUCUCUGACCCCUACCCCCCCCCCAAGAGUGCUCCUAGUUAGCUGUUACUUUGAUGAGCCUUUUGGCUGCAGGUGCUCCCCGUUUUGGCCUAAGCUUCCAGCUUCUUCCCCUUGUUCGUCACCCCCGCAGUGAGUGCUGGAGUGUGGCUUGGGGAGCCUGGCAGGCUUCACAGAGGGGUUGUUGAAGGCAGGUUAGUGCCCAGUCGGGGGAUGAUUGAAGCCUGGCAGCUGUAAGCUAGUGACCUUGGACCAAUGCUGCCGUCCUGUUCCGUUCCCCUCCCUCCCCACCCCCGUAAAAGGAUCAUAACUGCUGGAAAAGGUUGAUGGGAGGAUUAAUGGCGAUUAAGGGGGCCGCACUCCUGCUCUGGCCUCCAUUACGAUAGGGAUUGUUGCUGGGAGUGGCUGCGUGGGUGGGGGCUGGGCUGUGUCUUGGGCUCCUCCCCGCCAGUCCACUUCCUGAAGCACGUGCCGGAGCCUCCAGGCAAAGGAGAAAGAAAACUGGCUCUGCUUGGGAAGGCGGCCAGCUGUUUUCCUUCCAGUGCAGUUUUCAGUCCCGGCUGUUCCGGGUUCAGUGGGCUGUUCUGUAGUGGGUCACGAUUUUUCAGGGUUACCCACUAAUGACCCCAAGAAAAGAAACAGCUCACCCAAGGUUCUGAGGCCACGACAGACAGGGUUCCAGGUUAUCUUGGAUUUUCAGCCCAGAGCCUGGGCCCCUGACAACCCCCUUGCUCAGCUGUCUGGGUUAUUUUAGGCACCCUCCCGUUCCAGCUGUCUGCUGCCAUCACUGUCAGAGAGCUGUCUGAUAGCGAGGAACCAGAGUGGUCUGUGGCUCCCGCCGGUCCAGAGGGCCAGGCUUCCAGCUCUGGGUGAGCUUGCUUUGUGCUGGGAGGGCUGAACUCUUCGCCCCGAAUGGGAAAAGGCAGGAAAAGCACUUUCUAAGUUGAUUGGGUUCAUACUAUAUGGGCCUUGUAAGCCACUUGGUCCUUCUAAGGGACCUGCUUUUCUGGCUAGAGUCCUUGGGUCUGGGGUCUUUAUCUCCUCCAGCCUCAGACUAAGUAAUUGACUAAGUCGCGCUGUGUCAGCUGUACCCUGGAGGGCUAUAGACUUUGGGAAACAAUUAGGUGCUAAACUGUGUGGUGUGAAUCUUGAAAGGGAAAGACAGAAGUGACAGGGCCAACUUGCGACCCAUUUCCACCUCAGGCUCUUUCACCUCCGGUUUCUAGCUCUUGGCGCUUGCGCUCUCUCUGUCUCUCUCUUUCUCCUCUCUGUCUCUCUCUCUCUGUCUCUCUCUGUCUGUCUCUGUCUGUCUGUCUCUCUUUCUCUCUCUCCCUCUCUCCCUUUCUCUCUUGGCCCCCUUAUCACCUCCUGGGCAGUAGGGUGGAGCAUUUUGUAUGGCUGUUGUUCCUGGCCUUGAGGGGUGCCCCGCCCACUUGGUCACCCACUGAGCUUGGGGCGGGGCUGCUUUGGCCUGCUGAGAGAGGGCCACGCCAGCGGAAGGACUGCCUGAGCUGGGAGGUGGCUGGACUAGUUUCAUUACACAGACUCCAGCAUCCCCGCCCCUUCCGUCUCCUCCACCUGGCCUGGAGCCCUCGUUUGGAAUAUGACCUUUUAGACACUCUAGGUGGAGACAGUAGUCAAGAUGGGUAGGAACACCCCACCAUCACCUGCCCCCAGUGUUUUUGCAGACUGUUCUGUGCUCUCAGGCAAGUUCCUGCGGGUGGAAAGGAGGAGGGGAAGUCGAACCGCGUGGGCUAUUUCUAACAGAAAAGGGUCUUGCCAUGUCCCGGCUAGUCCUCUUGACAGGCUGGAACCAUAAGUACAAUGCUUUGUGCCCAGCUUAAGCCGUUUUUCCAGCCUGGCCUCUAGAAAUGGCUUGCCCAUCCUCCACUGGUUCCCUAGAGCUGUUAGGCAGCUGGGGCCUGGAGGAAGACUGCCUAGCCCAGAGGCUAAGAUAGCACCCCUAGACACCUUGGCUUCACACCCCCCACCCCUUUAUCUGUUAAGUAGAGCCUGAGUCUUUAUCUCUCACUGCUAUUGAUACCAUCUAUAUUUGGAUAGCUAAAUAAUUGAUUUAUGGGGCCUCUGAGUAGGGGAGCCAUGCCCUCAGCCUCUCCCAUCCAAAUUUGUACUUUGUCCUGAAAGACUGAAGGCAUCCUGCCUCUGCUGUCCUGGACCUGUUGGCCUCUGUGGCAUAGUCUUCCCUGAGACCAUCCUGUGGCUCCCUGAGGGGUUUUGUGGCAAGAAACAACUGAAGGAAUCGCUUCCUCUCCUACACUUUCCAGGAAUUCCUGGAGAAUCAGAGAGUGACCCCAGGCCCCCAGAACAUUGCUGGUGAGGGAAUAAGCCACCCUGUGUGGGUGAGUGAGUCUUAUCUCUUCAGCUAGACUGGCCUGGCCUGGCCUGACCUCUGAGGAGGCUCUAAACAGCAGCUGGCUGGAUUCCUGGGUAUUUUUAGCUACACAGAUCCAGCCCCACCAUCACCAUGAGAGCUGGGUCCAAAUCCAGCACUCCAGGCCUGCUAGUCCUGGGGUUCUGCCAGCCUCCUGAUAAAGCUGGGGUGGGUGGGUAGGGCAGGCUGGAACCAGUAGCGGCGUGUACCCUGAACCCACCUGAGCCAGAAUCAUUCGCUUUCAGUCACUUCCUCUCUGAGGCCUCCUGUAGACUUGCUCUGAGGAUGGAGAGUGCAGACACAGGUCUCAGGGAUCUGUGGAAAGUCGGGAGCCCUCUCUUGGCUAUAUGUAGCAGAACAAGCACUUUUUCCUUCUAAGUGAGUUUUCUCCCCUGGCACAUGCAGCCAGCCUCCCUGGCUCUGGACCAAGCCUGAAAAAGCCUGAAAGAAGAAACCUGGAAUCCUUGCGAAGGUAAGUGGGUCCCAACGCCCUCCGAGCCAUGCUCACCUUUGUGCCCUACCCUGGAGUGGCCUGCUCUAUGUUCUCUGGGGAACCUUGCCUUUGGCAUGCUGUCCCUCCUUUUUUGUUUUGGUUGGUUGCUUGCUUUUUUUUUUUUUUUUUUUUUUUCCGAGACAGGGUUCCUCUGUGGUUUUGGAGCCUGUCCUGGAACUAGCUCUUAUAGACCAGGCUGGUCUCGAACUCAGAGAGAUCCUCCUGCCUCUGCCUCCCAAGUGCUGGGAUUAAAGGCGUGGUUGUUUGCUUUUUGAGACACGAUUCUUCUGUAGCUUUGUGGCCUGUCCUGAAACUAGCUCUUCUAGACCAGCCUGGCCUUGAACUCAGAGGUCCACCUGCCCCUGCCACCCGGGUGCUGGGAUUAGAGAUGUGUCCCACCACGGCCAAGUUUUUUUUUUUAAACCAUCCUCAAAGGGCCACUAAGACAUUGCCGCAGCCCUUCCUCCCUUGCCUGGUUUUGACAGGAAUCAUCUGUUGACUCUUUGUAGCCAGCCCUCCUUCCCCUCCAACCAACAGACUAACAGUCAGGCCCUCCCUGAUAUAGCUGUUACCUUGACAACCCCUUGGGCCUGUUUCCCCCUCACCACUGAAACCCGAAGAGGGUUUUCAAGCUGCAGUACAUAUGCCCAAGUUGGGCACCGCUUCUGCUUCCAUUGGCACAUCUUCUGCCCAACUGUACCCAAUAUAACAAACACAGCCUUCCCUGGUCCUUUAGCUGAUCUCACUGGUGCUGGGAACUCCUGUCAAACUGCUUCCUUCAGACUGCCUCCCCCAC